UAAACCCAAAGGAUUUGACGGUGUCCUAUCCAACUAGAGGAGCCUGUUCUUUAAUCGACAGUCCCCGAUACAUCUAACCUCAUCUUGCCAUUCAGCCUGUAUACCUCCGUCGUAAACUUACCAUAUGAAUGCCCAUAGUAGGUUCAAUGAUUUAAACAUCAAUACGUCAGGUCAAGGUGCAGCCUAUGAUGAGGAAAGCAAUGGGCUACAAUCUCUAUAAUAGAAUAUACGUAAUGCUUCAUGAAAUUUUAGUCACGAAGGUGGAUCUAGUAGUAAAAAAGAGAAUAGCGUGCCUUUUUUAACACGGGCNUGGGACGUGUACAAACCGCCCGUCACCCUCUUCAAAAACUUUAAAAUAGUUUAUUACAAAUUUUUAUCUUCAAGAAGAGGCAAGUCGUAACAUGGUAAGUAUACGGAAGUGUACU
rnacentral:rRNA from 1 species